CCUACGGGAGGCAGCAGUGAGGAAUAUUGGUCAAUGGACGCAAGUCUGAACCAGCCAUGCCGCGUGCAGGAAGACGGCUCUAUGAGUUGUAAACUGCUUUUGUACGAGGGUAAAUCCCGAUACGUGUAUCGGGUUGAAAGUAUCGUACGAUUACGGAUAGGCUAACUCCGUGCCCGCAGCCGCGGUAAUACGGAGGAUUCAAGCGUUAUCCGGAAUUAUUGGGUUUAAAGGGUGCGUAGGCGGUUCGAUAAGUUAGAGGUGAAAGCCCGGGGCUCAACUCCGGCACUGCCUCUGAUACUGUCGGGCUAGAGUUUAGUUGAGGUAGGCGGAAUGUAUGGUGUAGCGGUGAAAUGCAUAGAGAGCAUACAGAACACCGAUUGCGAAGGCAGCUUACCAAACUACGACUGACGUUGAGGCACGAAAGCGUGGGGAGCAAACAGGAUUAGAUACCCUUGUAGUC
rnacentral:rRNA from 1 species